GCUACCAUGCAAGUCGAACGGCAGCACAGGGGAGCUUGCUCCUUGGGUGGCGAGUGGCGGACGGGUGAGGAAUACGUCGGAAUCUGCCCAGUCGUGGGGGAUAACUUAGGGAAACUUAAGCUAAUACCGCAUACGACCUUCGGGUGAAAGCGGAGGACCUUCGGGCUUCGCGCGAUUGGAUGAGCCGACGUCGGAUUAGCUAGUUGGUGGGGUAAAGGCCCACCAAGGCGACGAUCCGUAGCUGGUCUGAGAGGAUGAUCAGCCACACUGGAACUGAGACACGGUCCAGACUCCUACGGGAGGCAGCAGUGGGGAAUAUUGGACAAUGGGCGCAAGCCUGAUCCAGCCAUGCCGCGUGAGUGAAGAAGGCCCUCGGGUUGUAAAGCUCUUUUGUCCGGAAAGAAAAGCUUUCGGUUAAUACCCGGAAGUCAUGACGGUACCGGAAGAAUAAGCACCGGCUAACUUCGUGCCAGCAGCCGCGGUAAUACGAAGGGUGCAAGCGUUACUCGGAAUUACUGGGCGUAAAGCGUGCGUAGGUGGUUCGUUAAGUCUGAUGUGAAAGCCCUGGGCUCAACCUGGGAAUUGCAUUGGAUACUGGCGGGCUAGAGUACGGUAGAGGGUGGCGGAAUUCCCGGUGUAGCAGUGAAAUGCGUAGAGAUCGGGAGGAACAUCUGUGGCGAAGGCGGCCACCUGGACCAGUACUGACACUGAGGCACGAAAGCGUGGGGAGCAAACAGGAUUAGAUACCCUGGUAGUCCACGCCCUAAACGAUGCGAACUGGAUGUUGGGUGCAACUUGGCACUCAGUAUCGAAGCUAACGCGUUAAGUUCGCCGCCUGGGGAGUACGGUCGCAAGACUGAAACUCAAAGGAAUUGACGGGGGCCCGCACAAGCGGUGGAGUAUGUGGUUUAAUUCGAUGCAACGCGCAGAACCUUACCUGGCCUUGACAUCCACGGAACUUUCCAAAGAUGGAUUGGUGCCUUCGGGAACCGUGAAACAGGUG
rnacentral:rRNA from 1 species